rnacentral:lncRNA from 1 species
AAGCGAGUAAAAUACAAUUUUGAUAAUUAAAAUGGAAUAGACAGACAGAGUCAUAUAACUAACUAUAUAAGAUACACAAACUAACCACCAGUCAACAUACAAGACUAACUAUAUAAGGAGGAUCAAAACUCCAGUGUGAGAAUUAAGGAUGACGAGAAAUGAAAAAAGGCAAAACAGAACUUAAUUCACACUUAGCAGACAACCCAUUAAACAAGUUUAUUGAAACCAACACAACAAUUCUGAAUGAUAAAGCAUUCUGCUG